GUGAGGAAUAUUGGACAAUGGGCGCAAGCCUGAUCCAGCAAUGCCGCGUGGGUGAAGAAGGUCUUCGGAUCGUAAAGCCCUUUCGACAGGGACGAUGAUGACGGUACCUGUAGAAGAAGCCCCGGCUAACUUCGUGCCAGCAGCCGCGGUAAUACGAAGGGGGCUAGCGUUACUCGGAAUUACUGGGCGUAAAGGGCGCGUAGGCGGCUCUGUUAGUCAGGCGUGAAAUUCCUGGGCUUAACCUGGGGACUGCGCUUGAUACUGCAGGGCUUGAGGCCGAGAGAGGGUGGUGGAAUUCCCAGUGUAGAGGUGAAAUUCGUAGAUAUUGGGAAGAACACCGGUGGCGAAGGCGACCACCUGGCUCGGUUCUGACGCUGAGGCGCGACAGCGUGGGGAGCAAACAGGAUUAGAUACCCCGGUAGUCC
rnacentral:rRNA from 1 species